rnacentral:tRNA from 1 species
GGCCUAUUAGUUUAGUUGGUUAGAGCGUUAUGCUAAUAACAUGAAGCUUGCAGGUUUGAAACCUUUAUGGGCCA